UGACUCUAGGAGUGCUGGAGGUUUCAGCUCUGAGACAUUGGUUCAUGACUCUAGGAGUGCUGGAGGUUUCAGCUCUGAGACAUUGCUUCAUGACUCUAGGAGUGAUGGAGGUUCCAGCUCUGAGAGACAUUGCUUCAUGACUCUAGGAGUGCUGGAGGUUCCAGCUCUGAGACAUUGCUUCAUGACUCUAGGAGUGGGCUGCAAUGUUGCUAUCGCUCUCCUUCACUUUCCUACUUCCUGCUGUCUGCAUGUCUUUUUCUACCAUAUUUUUACUCCACUUUUCCUCUUUCUGCGAGCCACACGCACUUAACGCAACAUUCUUAGGUCAUUAAAAGCCUCAUGUAGAGAGGAUUGCAAAUUGACUGAUCCACUUUUCUUUCAAGCUUGGCCAUAUUCAAAUAAGCUGGAAUAAAAAAGAACAUUCUCAUCAGUCUUGAAUAUGUGGGACACAUUAUUUAGACUGUGGAUGAUCUUACUACUUCAUGUUAAAGAUUGUGAUCUUGAUUAUUUUGGUUUGAGGCUUCACUAUGCGUCCUCAAAAGAGACUUGAGAAAGAAUCCAAGCUGUAUUUUUUUUUAAAUAAAGUUUUCCAAAAACUUUA